GACGAACGCUGGCGGCGUGCUUAACACAUGCAAGUCGAACGGUGAAGCGCCUUCCUUUUUGGUGGGUGUGGAUGAGUGGCGAACGGGUGAGUAACACGUGAGUAACCCGCCCCCUUCUUCUGGAUAACCGCAUGAAAGUGUGGCUAAUACGGGAUAUUCUGGGUCUGUCGCAUGAUGGGUCUGGGAAAGAUAUUGUUUCGGUGGGGGAGGGGCUCGCGGCCUAUCAGCUUGUUGGUGGGGUGAUGGCCUACCAAGGCGGUGACGGGUAGCCGGCCUGAGAGGGUGGACGGUCACACUGGGACUGAGACACGGCCCAGACUCCUACGGGAGGCAGCAGUGGGGAAUAUUGCACAAUGGGCGCAAGCCUGAUGCAGCGACGCCGCGUGAGGGAUGGAGGCCUUCGGGUUGUGAACCUCUUUCGCCAGUGAAGCAGGCCUGCCUCGUUUGUGGGUGGGUUGACGGUAGCUGGAUAAGAAGCGCCGGCUAACUACGUG
rnacentral:rRNA from 1 species